UAGCCUCGUACUCUUUGAAGGAGUGGAGCC
rnacentral:piRNA from 1 species